rnacentral:rRNA from 1 species
UACGUAGGGUGCGAGCGUUAAUCGGAAUUACUGGGCGUAAAGCGUGCGCAGGCGGUUCGUUAAGUUCGUUGUGAAAGCCCCGGGCUCAACCUGGGAACUGCAAUGGAAACUGGCGGGCUUGAAUGCGGGAGAGGUGAGUGGAACUCCGAGUGUAGAGGUGAAAUUCGUAGAUAUUCGGAAGAACACCAGUGGCGAAGGCGGCUCACUGGCCCGGUACUGACGCUGAGGUGCGAAAGCGUGGGGAGCAAACAGG